rnacentral:lncRNA from 1 species
AUACGGAAGAAUUAAUUUUCAGCGAUAGCCUUGGAGGUUUGAGCCGUUUAAUAGCCAGUAGUCUGGAUGCUUUUCAAAAUUGUUCAUUUUUCGGAACAGACAAGAAAGAACCAACGUCAACAGUAGGAGCUCAGGAUACUAAGAAAGAACCAACGUCAACAGUAGGAGCUCAGGAUACUUUCUCCUCGGCUUUUAAAAUUAGCAGUGACAACUGAAACCGUAAUCAAGUUCAGUUUCCGGUGAAAAACACUAAUUGCGAGUGAGAGGUAUG